rnacentral:rRNA from 1 species
CUAAGUUGACUGCUAUACAUGCAAGUCGAACGAACGGAGGAAGAGCUUGCUCUUCCAAAGUUAGUGGCGGACGGGUGAGUAACACGUGGGCAACCUGCCUGUAAGUUGGGGAUAACUCCGGGAAACCGGGGCUAAUACCGAAUGAUAAAGUGUGGCGCAUGCCACGCUUUUGAAAGAUGGUUUCGGCUAUCGCUUACAGAUGGGCCCGCGGUGCAUUAGCUAGUUGGUAGGGUAAUGGCCUACCAAGGCAACGAUGCAUAGCCGACCUGAGAGGGUGAUCGGCCACACUGGGACUGAGACACGGCCCAGACUCCUACGGGAGGCAGCAGUAGGGAAUCUUCCGCAAUGGACGAAAGUCUGACGGAGCAACGCCGCGUGUAUGAAGAAGGUUUUCGGAUCGUAAAGUACUGUUGUUAGAGAAGAACAAGGAUAAGAGUAACUGCUUGUCCCUUGACGGUAUCUAACCAGAAAGCCACGGCUAACUACGUGCCAGCAGCCGCGGUAAUACGUAGGUGGCAAGCGUUGUCCGGAUUUAUUGGGCGUAAAGCGCGCGCAGGCGGUCUUUUAAGUCUGAUGUGAAAGCCCCCGGCUUAACCGGGGAGGGUCAUUGGAAACUGGAAGACUGGAGUGCAGAAGAGGAGAGUGGAAUUCCACGUGUAGCGGUGAAAUGCGUAGAUAUGUGGAGGAACACCAGUGGCGAAAGCGACUCUCUGGUCUGUAACUGACGCUGAGCGCGAAAGCGUGGGGAGCAACAGAUUAGAUACCCUGGGUAGUCCACGCCGUAAACGAUGAGUGCUAGUGUUAGGGGUUUCGCCCCUUAGUGCUGCAGCUACGCAUAGCACUCCGCCUGGGAGUACGACGCACGUCUAUUAUAUAUAAUAUAUGCGUGUGAGGAAU